rnacentral:rRNA from 1 species
CUGACCUCGGAUCAAGGUAGGAAAA